UAACUUUACGGAUCACAAUAAUUUAUUUUGUGACAUAUCAUUCAAGUUUCUGACCUAUCAGCUUUAAACGGUAGGGUAUUGGCCUACCGUGGCUAUGACGGGUAACGGGGAAUUAGGGUUCGAUUCCGGAAAGGGAGCCUGAAAAACGGCUACCACAUCUAAGGAAGGCAGCAGGCGCGCAAAUUACCCAAUCCUAAUACAGGGAGGUAGUGACAAGAAAUAACAAUACAGGACUUUACGGUUUUGUAAUUGGAAUGAGUUAAGUAUAAACCCCUUUACAAGUAUCAAUUGGAGGGCAAGUCUGGUGCCAGCAGCCGCGGUAAUUCCAGCUCCAAUAGCGUAUAUUAAAGUUGUUGCAGUUAAAAAGCUCGUAGUUGGAUUUCUGUUAAUACCUUAUAUAUAAUAUUUUUUUUUAAAUAUUAUUAUGUAAAAUUAACAUAAUUUAUAUUUUUUAAGACUGAAUUUUUAGUUUUGAUAAUAUGAAAUUUUACUUUGAGAAAAUUAGAGUGCUUAAAGCAGGCUUUUGCCUUGAAUACUCCAGCAUGGAAUAAUAAUAAAAGAUUUUUAUCUUUUUUUUAUUGGUUCUAAGAUAAAAAUAAUGAUUAAUAGGGACAGUUGGGGGCAUUUGUAUUUAACAGUCAGAGGUGAUAUUCUUAGAUUUGUUAAAGACAAACUAAUGCGAAAGCAUUUGCCAAGGAUGUUUUCAUUAAUCAAGAACGAAAGUUAGGGGAUCGAAGACGAUCAGAUACCGUCGUAGUCUAACC
rnacentral:rRNA from 1 species